GUGACUUCAGAGUGAUGAUAGACUGUUUCGCUGUUGUGUAAAAUACGUUCAAUGUUUUAGUGGGUAAAUCUAGAAACAACAACAGGCAAUUACGCAGUGAAGAAAACUGCAUUAGCAUACACUUUAACACACGAGUGCAAUGUACACGCAGUAACGACUGGAAUAACUAGAAUUAGCAGCAAUUUUUCUGUUUCGUAAUAAUCACAGCGUGCUAAUAAUUACGGACAAUUAUUCAAUAAAAAUGCGUGAUGAAGACGGCUCUGGGAAAUGCAAUACUUGGUCCAUUUAGUACAUCAUGAUGUAUUUGGUGUGCAGCUGGCCUAUGAGUCUUUGGUUCGAUUCCUGAGAAAGCCUUCCUAUCAGGAGUCGAUUAUGACCGAGCUCUUCGGGGCCCAGCUCCACCAUUACAACUUCCCGGACGUCUUUUAUGAGCUGCUUCUCUUCGGCUACUUCGGGAACGGCUCAACACCUGAG
ensembl:lncRNA